UUCGUUGUGUUCCCUAAAGUGCCUUUACUCAGGAUCGAAGGUCAUGGUGCUGUUGUGCAAUUGUUGAAAACUCCCUUUCUCAAUCUCAACAAUUACGCAUCUUUGGUUGCUACUAACGCAGCAAGGCAUCGGUGUGUUGCUGGAAAAUCUAAGCUUCUACUCGAGUUUGGUGAUCGAAGAGCUCAAGUCAAAGCUCGGAAUUCAAAUUUGAGAACAGGCAAGUUAAGCCUUGGAAGGGGAGAGGAUUCAUGACGCGGCUAUGGAGGAUCUUGAACUCACAGUUGGAAACCUUAAAGGUCGUUAGAUGAUAUAUGAAGAACAAAAGGACCCGUUGUGGCAUGUCGGAAGCAAAAAGGUUGGAGUGUUAGCGUGUUAUUCAGUUCAUGGUUUUGGUUCUUGUAAUAGAAUCGAUAUUCAUUGUACUAUUGAGUUUGUUUCACAUUGCAAUAUUUUGUAGAUAGACUGUGUAAGAUGUAUGUUUCUAUCAUGUAUCAUUGUCUUGCAAGACAUUACAACUAUUUUAUUAUGAAGUGGCUUAAACUUGAGACA